GUCUAUAGCCAUGCUACCUUGAACAAGCCUGAUCCUGCUGAUCUCGAAAGCUAAGCAGGGUUGGGCCUGGUUAGUACUUGGAUGGGAGACCACGUAGGAAGACCAGGUGCUGUAGGCG
rnacentral:rRNA from 1 species